CUUCAUUUCUUUUCGACUGACGAAAGAAAGACAUGAACGUCUUGGAUGACAUGGGGGACAUUUCUGGAUUCUCCUUCCUUUGAGUUCAUGGAGUGAGGAGGGACACGAGCAGCAGGUAUCUGCGGUCGGCUCAGACGCACUGAAGGAUAUCAUAGAGAGAGUGACAUCGGACAGCCAGGGUCUUCAUGGCCACGCUUGACUGGAUCCUCCAAAGGGCCUCUCCUCUGUCCACUUCACUUUCUGUCCCCUCUACUGCGGGCCUCCGGGGCCCCGGGGACCUCCUGGGAAGGGUUGGGUACCGGCUGAUGGGGGGAGACAAGGAGUGGACGGACGGACUCAGACAUAUGUGUGUGUGUGUGUGUGGAAAGGACAAGUGUGAAAGUCUACCUCAGAGUCAGGGGCGUCUGGCAGGGCUGCGGUCUGCGUCGCAUUCUGACAGAACAAGUGUUGCAUGAGAUGCGUCGAGGUGUCUCAGUGAGCCUGGAGCAGGUGUUGCUCAUCGGCGACUGCACCAGAGCGAAGACCCUUGUGCAUAAGACCACCGCAGCCAAACGCCAGGGCCAGGACGGCUCACUCACUCACACACACACACACACUAAUGAUAAUGGAUUUGGGGUGAAUAGGCAGCCAGAUUCUAAUGGAUCAGAAGACAGCAGCACACAGGGACUGUUUCAGCUGUUGGUCAGGACGGAAGGUGUUAAACACUCAUUAAUGUGUUGACAUGCAAAGGCAUUUAGGUAACGUGUGUGAUUAUAUGCAUAUUACAUUCACACUAUUCACAUAUUCUUGUAAAAUAUUUUUACAUUUUAUUCUAUUUUUUAUUUAUCUAAUUAAUUGAAUGCAUAAUAAAAUAGUUCAUAAAAUCUUAAUUUUGUUAAUUUACUGUAAUAUUAAUAUGCUUGAUAUGCUACCAAAGGUUUGGAAUGACUGAGAUUCUUUUAAUGUUUUCGAAAGAAGUCUCUUAUGCUUACCUAGGCUGUAUUUAAAGGGUUAGUUCACCCAAAAAUGAAAAUUAUCCCAUUA